UACGUAGGGUGCAAGCGUUGUUCGGAAUCAUUGGGCGUAAAGCGCGUGUAGGCGGUUAGUUAAGUCGAUUGUGAAAUCCCUGGGCUCAACCGAGGAAGUGCAGUCGAAACUAACUAGCUAGAGGUCGGCAGAGGAAGGUGGAAUUCCAAGUGUAGAGGUGAAAUUCGUAGAUAUUUGGAGGAAUACCGGUGGCGAAGGCGGCCUUCUGGACCGGUCCUGACGCUAAGGCGCGAAAGCGUGGGGAGCAAACAGG
rnacentral:rRNA from 1 species